rnacentral:ncRNA from 1 species
UUAUAUGUGAAUAAAAACACAGUUCGGUUGGUAGUCCGAACCUAACUAUAAAAAAUAGUUAGCAGUAACCUGCCCUCCUGGGGUUGUCCUUUUUACAUAAGUAGUUU